UACGGAGGGUGCGAGCGUUGUCCGGAAUUAUUGGGCGUAAAGAGCUCGUAGGCGGUCUGUCGCGUCGGAUGUGAAAAUCAGGGCUCAACCCUGGACCUGCAUUCGAUACGGGCAGACUAGAGUUCGGUAGGGGAGACUGGAAUUCCUGGUGUAGCGGUGAAAUGCGCAGAUAUCAGGAGGAACACCGGUGGCGAAGGCGGGUCUCUGGGCCGAAACUGACGCUGAGGAGCGAAAGCGUGGGGAGCAAACAGG
rnacentral:rRNA from 1 species